AACGAACGCUGGCGGCAGGCUUAACACAUGCAAGUCGAGCGAAGACUUCGGUCUUAGCGGCGGACGGGUGAGUAACGCGUGGGAACAUACCCUUUGCUACGGAACAGUCCCGGGAAACUGGGUUUAAUACCGUAUACGCCCUUCGGGGGAAAGAUUUAUCGGCAAAGGAUUGGCCCGCGUUGGAUUAGGUAGUUGGUGGGGUAACGGCCUACCAAGCCUACGAUCCGUAGCUGAUCUGAGAGGAUGAUCAGCCACACUGGGACUGAGACACGGCCCAGACUCCUACGGGAGGCAGCAGUGGGGAAUCUUGGACAAUGGGCGCAAGCCUGAUCCAGCCAUGCCGCGUGAGUGAAGAAGGCCUUAGGGUUGUAAAGCUCUUUUGCCAGGGACGAUAAUGACGGUACCUGGAGAAUAAGCCCCGGCAAACUUCGUGCCAGCAGCCGCAGUAAAAC
rnacentral:rRNA from 1 species